UUUCCNGUAGUGCCUACUAUCUUAUUCUCC
rnacentral:piRNA from 1 species